rnacentral:lncRNA from 1 species
UCCCUGUUUCCCAGACCAUAUAGCACCAGAAUAACCUGUGAAGCUAUUAAAAAAAAACAACAACAGAUUUCUGGAGUCUACCUCCAAGAAAUUCUGAAUGAACAGGUUAGAGAAGAGCUGAGGGAUCUACAUUUUAACCAACACAGAUUGUUUGAGGCUCACCAGUCUAAAAAAAAAUCUUUAAGGUUGUUUCUAAUUCUGAAAUUCAUUAUUCAGAGUAUCCAGUUUCUGCUUCCAUGGUCUCAAACUCCCUGCUUACUGCCUCUACUGAUUCUCACCAUUGGUAGUCCGAAGCUUGGGUCUUCUGAUGCUCUACCUAUGGGAAAGAGAUUACUUCUAGAUUGCCAAGAGCUCACAGUGUUAACACCUCACAUGGAUGCAUGGACACUGGUGUCCAGGGGGCUGCUGAUGUCACCGGCUCUACCCUGCCCCUCCAGGAGGACUCAUGUCCUUGCUACAGCACUGCCUCCAGUGCACAAAGCAAUAGCUCUGAGUAUUUUAUCUGGGUUUUUUUUCUUCUCUUUUUCUGUAAGAUAUGGGCAUUGAUCUAUGGGCUGGCCUGACAUACAGUGUACAUUAUUCAAUCACCUUGCUCUUUGACCUUGCCUCAUGAUCUAAGAACAAAAGUGCAUCCUUGCUUGUCAUCCUGAGGCACACCAGCCCUUCUUACAGAUGUGUUUCCUAUGGGUCCUCCUGUCAUUAUGUAUCUGAAUCAUAGUCCUGGUUCCCACCAUUUCCAAAAGAACUGGCUGUUCCUAAUUCAGAAGAAGGUAAAUUCUGAAAGUAAGUUGGUACGCCAGUCAUCUAGAAUUUGAGCCUCUCAGCCCAUAGCUACAAAAUUACACAUAAUGGCAAAGUUCCCAGGCCCAUCCACAAAAAACCUAUUUAUCCAGAAUGUAGCUGAACAGAGGUAAUAAAGCUAUAUGCAACCCAGCCA